AGGUGAUGGACAACAGGUUGAUAUUCCUGUACUACCGAUAACCGUUUGAGAGAAGGGAUGACACAGUAGGAUAAGCUAGGCACACUGUUGGUUAUGUGUGCCCAAGCAUUGAGGCAGUCAAAGUAGGCAAAUCCGCUUUGAUAAUGCUGGGAUGUGAUGGGGAGCGAAAUUUAGUAGCGAAGUAGCUGAUUUCACACUGUCAAGAAAAGUCUCUAUCGAGGUUAAAGGUACCCGUACCGCAAACCGACACAGGUGGGUGAGGAGAGUAUCCUAAGGCCAGCGAGAGAACUGUUGUUAAGGAACUCGGCAAAAUGACCCCGAAACUUGGGGAUAAGGGGUGCAACCAUCAGGUGGCCGCUGAGAAUAGGCCCAAGCGACUGUUUACCAAAAACAAAGGAUUCUGCUAAUUCGCAAGACGAUGUAGAGGAGCUGUAGCCUGCCCGGUGCUGGAAGGUUAAGGGGAUCUGUU
rnacentral:rRNA from 1 species